CCUACGGGUGGCAGCAGUAGGGAAUUUUGCGCAAUGGGCGAAAGCCUGACGCAGCAACGCCGCGUGAUUGAUUAAGCCCUUCGGGGUGUAAAGAUCUGUCAGUGGGGACGAAAGUUGACGGUACUCACUGAGGAAGCACCGGCUAACUCUGUGCAAGCAGCCGCGGGAAUACGGAGGGUGCAAGCGUUGUCCGGAAUCAUUGGGCGUAAAGAGUCCGUAGGUGGCAUAUUAAGUCUGGUGUUAAAUGCAGAAGCUCAACUUCUGUUCGGCACUGGAUACUGGUAAGCUUGAAUGCGGUAGAGGUGAAUGGAAGUCCUGGUGUAGCGGUGAAAUGCGUAGAUAUCAGGAGGAACAUCAGUGGCGAAAGCGCUUUACUGGGCCGUAAUUGACGCUGAGGAACGAAAGCCGGGGUAGCAAAUAGGAUUAGAUACCCGAGUAGUC
rnacentral:rRNA from 1 species